rnacentral:lncRNA from 1 species
UACAAACUUAAAAUCACCAUACUUAAAGUCUUAAAUCAAAAGAUUCAAACAUACUUAAAACGAUAAAAUCAAAAGAUUCAUACUUUUGAUAAUCAAAAGUCUUCAAACAAACUGACUUUUGAUCAUCCCCGCCCAUGACGCAGACGCCGGACCAGUUCCGCCUGCUCCACCAUCACAGCUUUCAGAUCGUCCCCGAGCAUCUCCACCAUCUUGUUCAGGGUAGCAGUCAUCUGGUUCAGCUCCACCAUCUGUUCACGGAGAGUGGCCAGGUGACCGUUCAGGUUGCACAAUGAUUUCUCCACAUUCUCCGUGUAUAUGGGCUGCUGUGUUACCGAGUUGGAGGCAGAGUGAUUGCUAUGAAAAAGAAAAAAUAUUAGUGAUCAAAAAAUGAAAGGAAACGAAAAUGAAACAUGCAUAAAGUAGAAGAUGAAGAAAGAUUACCUUGAAGACGCCAUUUUCAAAGGAUGAAAAAUUAAACCCUCGAGUUAGAUGCUUGAGAAAAAUGAAAGAUGAAGAUGAAGAGGCCCUCGACUUUGCUUGAGAAAGAUGAAAAAAGACCCCCUCGGCUGGAGGGUUUAUAUAAAGGCAGUGAAAAAAACCCCCUCGGCUGUGGUGCAUUCACCAAUUACACACGGCACAUUAAUCACACUCGGUGCCUCUUUGUUUCUUUUGCAACAUUAUUUUUUUUUGUUUGAAGGCAA